AUUAAGUGACUGGGAAUCGUGACACAGACAUGUCCACUGUUCUUCAAGUCUACUCAGCAAAGUCAAUGAUUUCGUAAAAUUCCGUCCCUCGAAACACAAUUUUUGAAGAAGUUUCAAAAGAUUGUAAAGAGAUCUUUGUGACAAGGAAGUUAUAAAAGGAAAACGUGAACGCGAGAAACAGCUGUUGACAAAUGACUUAUCUGUGUUUAUAAAAGAUAAAAAUGAUUCAAGAAAACCAUGCUCUAGGUAUAAGGCCCCCACGCGCACACAACACCACAUCUAUCUGAGCUUACGCACAAAAUGGUCAACCUGUUGAUAUUUAUGGAAAAUAUUAGCUGUAAGUUAAGUUUGAAAGUUCCUUGUGCCUGAGAAUCCCUCAGUGUACUGACAGGGAAUUCCAAACUUCGGGUCCAAAUACUUCAGAAAAUAUCAUAUCGCAGUGAUAACAUUUCGUCCGAAGUGUACAUGAAGUACAUUCACUUGGCUCCAGAAACCCCCCCAAAAAAAAAAAAAUCAUAAAUCUUUCAACAACUGAAAAUCUCUCUACAACAACGUUGAAAACUUUCUCUUUUUUUUUUUUUUACAUUUAGUAAGUUCUAACACUAUAUUCUAUAGUGGUCACGUGACCUUUGAUUACUGCCCUCGUUAACGCUUAACGAUACAGAUAAUCACUAGCGAUGUGGUCACUCCUUAAGCAAAAGUCCAUCUAACACCUCAUUUAUGUUCUCAUGCAAGAUAAUACUUUCAUUUAGCUGACUAAACUAUUUUCAAAUUCUUAGAUCAGUGUAUAAGAUAAUUAAUUUCCUAUCUUUUGAGGUCAGCCUUCAAUGGAUUGACUUCCUUCUUUUUCUCGAGUUCAGCUCGACAGUCGGCGAUGAAUUGUCUUCGUCAUAGAUGAGAUCGAGGCGCUAACAGUGUCCUUAUUGUUAUCACCGCUCCUUUCUGGCUGUGGGUCCGGAUUACGUUGGUGACUCACCUUCACUCCCGGUGACUCCCAGCAAAUUUUUGUCUGUGGAUUUUUUUGAGGGGAGGAGUGUAGUCUUUUUCUCUCAUCGCUACGUGUCCCAUUGAUGAAGAGGAAGACGUCCGUCUUGUUAAUGGAUAUAAAAGAUGAAGACACUGAUGAUGCCUUUAGCAAAAACAUCUUCGACAUUUGGAUCUUAAGCGAAUUUGUGUUUCAACACUUUAGGCCACAUUUACCUUUUUCAUCGCCUUGGCACGGAGGUCAUCAUCAUGGCAACAGCAAACAAUAUCUUCACCCUUGGUGUCUACGACAACCUUGUCUUCAAAAGGUGGUUUCGGUUAUUCACGACCGCCAUCAUCGCAGCGAUGAUGCUGGCCUCGUCAACGACGACAGCCAUGCCAGCAGCAACAACAGAGCGGAGGAGCAGCUGCUACCAGAGGAGUACCUGGCCGCCCCUCGCCCUCCGCGACAGACAUUCAAGUGAUGAUCUCCACAGACUGGGCGGCCGCCUGACCUGAGCAGCCUUUCUCACCUGUGCAGCUCGCCUUCUGAACAGCAGACCUGGCGUCCCAAGUGCAACUACUCGGCACCAACAGUGGAGAGCGAUACUCCCCUGGAGGAGCGGAGCGCGUGCCGUUGGGACUACGUGAUCGAGACGGACCCGCUGCGCAUCCCCCAGCAGAUACGUCACGCCAGGUGCAGCUGUUCCAAUUGCCAGAUGCAAAGGGUCAAAGCCCCCUUUUACAAUGCCGGCUGUGAGGAGAAGUUUGCGACCUUUCCUGUGAUUCGUUGCCAAGAAGCCGUGACGAGUGACAGCAGCCUCGACAGAAAGUGUCGGAUGGUCAUGCAGCGUGUUGCUGUCAGUUGUGUCUGUGCCUUUGUCAGGCCUCUUUGAUGAACUUCUGGAACUCUAUACUCACGACUCCAUCGCCAGCCAGCAAUACCGGAUAAUGACUCUUACAAACUGAAACGGGUUUACAUAUACAAAAUAAUUUAUUUAUGCAAUAACUUAUUUCACCUGAAAGCAACUCCACUUUUUUAUUUUUGUGUCCCUGUAAAAAAAAAAAUAAUAAAAUGCAGGAUCUAAUAAUGAUUCAGUAGAACUUGUGGCUACAGACUGAUAGCUAAGUGCGCGUGGCUGUGUGUGUGUGUGAGAGAGAGAGGACCACCGACCUUUACCGUCUACAGACAUUCCCACAAUGCCUCUGCUAAGUGGCAAACUUCUGCUACAGGCAGAAAGAGAAAUAUGUGAUUACAAUACUGAAAAAAAGUUUUAUUGGUUGCAAAAAUGGUGACCUCAUGCAGUACAGUAGGUGCACGAACAGACAUACAAUAACUUUAACAAUUAAGUUAUACUUAUACGAAUUUUGAUUUUUUUUUUCUUGUGGGGGGGGGGUAUUCUUUGUGAAAAUGCAAGCACUUUUCCGAAUAUACUUGUCGAUAAGUGUGAAGCACUUUAUCAGGCAUGCUAGCUACAUUUAAACAUUUAUUAGAAUGAUUGUUGUCUUAGUGGGACUCGAAGAUUGUUGUCAGAAGAGUUUUCAAAAUUACAAAAAAAAUCAGUAAUCAUGUCAAAAUUUUAUUCUGUGUCCAUACAUUUUAACUAUGAACCCUGUGUUUGUCUUGCUUCAUUAUCAAAAGUCACAAAAGUUUUUCAUUUGACAAUUGUGAUUGGUUAGUCGCGGCUCCUAACAAUCCUAACGCCAAUCAGUCCGUUACUCAUUGUUGUUCCAGGGAAAAGGAUGGAAGUCCGCAAAGAGAAUUUUCCUCUAAUUCUAGUUCUUACUCGUCGGGCAAUCUAGUCUAGUCUAAUAUACCUCGCAAUGUGUUCUUUUUUUCACUUGCUACUCUCGCAUUUAGCCGACCUUGGAGUCUUCUCAAGACCCUGUUUUUUCCAAAGAAAAAGAAAAGAUGCGUUCUCUUCGAUGCGUUGCCCAGUUUCGGAUCGGUUAGCUUCUCAUUCUCCUCACGUUUCACAACUGUCUUACUUCGCUAUUCUACCUUGCACGAGACAAAAGCUACAUUCACCUAAGAAAUAUACGAGGUAUAUCUGAAAAGUCUCGAGACUGGUGUCACAAACAAAUUAUUUCGACUCUAAACAACAAACUUCGU